rnacentral:rRNA from 1 species
UAAGGUGACUAUAGCACGAAGGUUCCACCUCUUCCCAUUCCGAACAGAGAAGUUAAGCUUCGUCACGCCGAUGGUACUGCGUACAAG